CUAUUCGGUAUAGGGAGGUGUACACCCAUAUACCCAAAUGUUAACCCAACGUAACUCUUACACGCACUGAGGUACAUAUCGGGUUUUCCUUUUAUAAAAUGGACUCCAAAUUACUCAUUCGAGUCCUUGGUUGUUUACUCAUCUAUCCCUUUUAGCCCCCUCGCUCAGCCACUUUGCCCGCCCCCCUCCCUUUUGCGUUUCAAACUCCACACCAUGGUGGAGGAAUGUGAAUCCAAUUGGAUGCCUAAAUUUGCUAACUAGCCGCCCGCCGUAAUUAUCCCGUCGUUUCUACCCCCGGUGCGUCGAAGGCUCGUUCUUCUUCACCAUCUGCACUUUCCCACACUUCCAGCGAUGAUGAAGGAUCUUCUUCGGGUGGAAUCACCAAUAGAUGUCCCCCCCAAGGCAGUCCACAAUAUCGUGUCAAAGUUUAGUGAAUUCAAGAAGGAAAUGGUCCGUCAAAUUGGAUUCGGUGGGUUACUAGAAGUCCCAUGCAUCUCCAAGCUAGACCGAUUCAAGAUUUCGUUCGUGGUUUUUGUUAUGGAACAUCUUCUGGCUCCAUCAGCAAAACACAACCACGGCAAUUGCGAUAUUUGGGGUGCUCUUAAGGAUACAGAGUUGAUAGGCACGAGAUGCUUGUAAAGGGGCGUGUCUUGUCCCUUUGUGGAUGCCAUUUAUUCCUCCAGGUUCUUUUCUUGGACAAUGUUGAUCUCCGGACCUUAAACAAGAAUCAUACAUUACUGCCCCAUAUAAAGGUGUUUGACCAGGAAUCUCUUCGCCGAAUGACCACAAUGAGUUCUGCACCGCGUGGCUUCAGAAAGAAAGUAAAAAUGGUGAACAAUUUUGUCAGUUAGAUUGCUUAUUUGCUUACUAUUGCAGAUAGAUGAUCUGUGUCAUGAACUAUGGGAUAUAGCCAUGUAAUUUCAAGGCCCAUCCUACACAGCUAUAACUAUAGAAGCAUGGGACGGAGGGGCUAGCUAAAGCACUGCACAACAGUGGUGGUGCGGCUUGGUUUGCCCCCCAUCUUUUCAUUGCUUUUCAUAUCUUCAGUAAUUGGAUCUUCUUAUAUGUUGGAUUGUAUCAGGCAGUUUUUGAGGCACAGUUGAGGGUCAAGGGCCCUGGUAACAGCAAUUCGUUAUAGCACAUAUGAGAGUUCAAAUGCCCAUAUGGACUGUGUAUUCAUUUGAUGCCUGUCCUAGUUAUUUAUUUAGACUAAAGGUGAUGCCUCAAUUUGUGAGGCAGAGCACAGAACAGUGUGUCUAUGGGCUACAGCCACAUAUGCAGAUUUCAUUUGAGCAUAGGUACGGCACUGUCCCAGAUUAAUAAAGACAGUAAAGUCUAUAGGGAUUUAGGAUGAAAGCUCAAUGCUAUUUCACAGUUUUCAUACCCAAGUGAUUACUUAGUAUCUCAGAAACUCAACUACAGACCAACUAAAUAAAAAAUCAAUCUGGAGUUAUAUGUAGCGAAAAAUCACCAUAUAUACUACUGUGAGAACUCGAUCAUGUUUUGCUCCAUUGAUUUCUCUUUGUUGUACAGAGCCAUUGAUGACCCGGAGCAUACACCCUAUCUUAUUCAAAAGAAGUGUAAGAUCUACAGAAGACAAGUAAUUCCGAGGAAGCACGAGCUCGUACAGCGAUCUGAGAGGCCGGCCUGCCUGUCCCUUCAGUCUCUAGGAGGAUUGCGUCUUGGAGGUGGCGUUGGGGCCGAGGGAGCAGGAGGACCGGAAGGCGUCGAUGUGCGCCUGGCACUUGACGCGGUCGCCCUUGUUCUCCUCCAGGCACCUCCGCAGCGCCUCCACGUCGCACGCCGCCGCCCUAGGCUGCUGCUUUGUCUCGUCUAUCCCUCUACCGACGGCCACCGAAGCAGAUGCCACCGCCGCUUCCAUGGUGGGGCAGUGGGUAGCUCGCCGUCGCUAGAUCGAGUCUGGAGUCUGGACGCGAUGGGGAAGGGAGGAUUUUUUUUUUCUUUUCCAGCGGAACCGUGUGCUA